rnacentral:ncRNA from 1 species
CCCGGGCGGCGGACUGAAUCCUUUGCAGACGACUUAAAUACGCGACGGGGUAUUGUAAGUGGCAGAGUGGCCUUGCUGCCACGAUCCACUGAGAUUCAGCCCUUCGUCGCUCCGAUUCGU